rnacentral:lncRNA from 1 species
AUGUCACAACGUAACUGGGUGAUUAUAAAGGUGCUCUACAGGUGUCUAAGAAGGUACUUGUUGAGUUGGCGUAUUUCGAGAUUAGGAUUUGUCACUCCGAUUGUUGGAGAGGUAUCUCUGGGCCCACUCAGUAAUGCACAUCACUAUAAGCCUUGCAAGCAUUGUAACUAAUGAGUUAGUUCUGGGAUGAUGUAUUACGGAACGAGUAAAGAGACUUGCCGGUAACGAGAUUGAACUAGGUAUUGAGAUACCGAUAAUCGAAUCUCGGGCAAGUAACAUACCGAUGACAAAGGGAACAACGUAUGUUGUUAUGCGGUUUGACCGAUAAAGAUCUUCGUAGAAUAUGUCGGAGCCAAUAUGAGCAUCCAGGUUCCGCUAUUGGUUAUUGACCGGAGACGUGUCUCGGUCAUGUCUACAUAGUUCUCGAACCCGUAGGGUCCGCACUCCUAAAAUUCAGUGACGAUCGGUAUUAUGAGUUUUUGUGUUUUGAUGUACCGAAGGUAGUUCAGAGUCCCAGAUAUGAUCACGGACAUGACGAGGAGUCUCGAAAUGGUCGAGACGUAAAGAUCGAUAUAUUGGACGACUAUGUUCGGACACCGGAAAGGUUUCGGACAUAUACCAGAGUACCAGGGGGUUACCGGAACCCCCCGGGGGGCUUAAUGGGCCUACAUAGGCCUUAGUGGAAAUAGAGGGCGGCAAGGGGAGUGUAGCCCCUCCCCCNNNNNNNNNNNNNNNNNNNNNNNNNNNNNNNNNNNNNNNNNNNNNNNNNNNNNNNNNNNNNNNNNNNNNNNNNNNNNNNNNNNNNNNNNNNNNNNNNNNNNNNNNNNNNNNNNNNNNNNNNNNNNNNNNNNNNNNNNNNNNNNNNNNNNNNNNNNNNNNNNNNNNNNNNNNNNNNNNNNNNNNNNNNNNNNNNNNNNNNNNCCUUCUCCUCAUCUCCCUUUCCUUCCCCCUCUCCUACUCCUACUAGGAAAAGGAGGAGUCCUACUCCUAGUGGGAGUAGGACUCCCCCUCUUGGCGCGCCUCUCCCUGGCCGGCCGCCUCCUCCCCCUUGCUCCUUUAUAUACAGGUGCAGGGGGGCACCCCAUAGACACAACAAUUGAUCAUUGAUAUCUUAGCCAUGUACGGUGCCCCCCUCCACCAUAAUCCACCUCGAUCAUAUCGUAGCGGUGCUUAGACGAAGCCCUGCGUCGGUAGCAUCAUCUUCACCGUCACCAUGUUGUCGUGCUGACGAAACUCUCCUGUGAAGCUGUGCUAGAUCGGAGCUCGCGAGACGUCAUCGAGUUGAACAUGUGCUGAACUCGGAGGUGUCAUGCGUUUGGUACUUGGAUCGGUCGGAUCGUGAAGACGUAUGACUACAUCAACCGCGUUGUGCUAACGCUUCCGCAUUCAGUCUACGAGGGUACGUGGACACACUCUCCCCUCUCGUUGCUAUGCAUCACCAUGAUCCUGUGUGUGCAUAGGAUUUUUUUUUGAAAUUACUACGUUCCCCAAUAGUGGCAUCCGAGCCAGGUUUAUGCGUAGAUCUUAUAUGCACGAGUAGAACACAAGUGAGUUGUGGGCGAUACAAGUCAUACUGCUUACCAGCAUGGCAUACUUUGGUUCGGUGGUAUUGUUGGAUGAAGCGGCCCGGACCAACAUUACGCGUACGCUUACGCGAGACUGGUUCUACCGACGUGCUUUGCACACAGGUGGCUGGCGGGUGUCAGUUUCUCCAACUUUAGUUGAACCGAGUGUGGUACGCCCGGUCCUUGCGAAGGUUAAACAACACUAACUUGAUGAACUAUCGUUGUGGUUUUGAUGCGUAGGUAAGAACGGUUCUUGCUCAGCCCGUAGCAGCCACGUAAAACUUGCAACAACAAAGUAGAGGACGUCUAACUUGUUUUUGCAGGGCAUGUUGUGAUGUGAUAUGGUCAAGACAUGAUGCAAUAUUGUAUGAGAUGAUCAUGUUCUGUAACAGAGUUAUCGGCAACUGGCAGGAGCCAUAUGGUUGUCGCUUUAUUGUAUGCAAUGCAAUCGCCCAGUAAUUGCUUUACUUUAUCACUAAGUGGUAGUGAUAGUCGUAGAAGCAAUAGUUGGCAAGACGACAACGAUGCUACGAUGGAGAUCAAGGUGUCACGUCGGUGACGAUGGUGAUCAUGACGGUGCUUUGGAGAUGGAGAUCAAAGGCACAAGAUGAUGAUGGCCAUAUCAUAUCACUUAUAUUGAUUGCAUGUGAUGUUUAUCCUUUAUGCAUCUUAUUCUGCUUUGUUUGACGGUAGCAUUAUAAGAUGAUAUCUCACUAAAUUUCAAGGUAAAAGUGUUCUCCCUGAGUAUGCACCGUUGCCAAAGUUUGUCGUGGCGAGACACCACGUGAUGAUCGGGUGUGAUAAGCUCAACGUUCAUCUACAAUGGGUGUAAGACAGUUUUACACACGCAGAAUACUCGGGUUAAACUUGACGAGCCUGGCAUAUGCAAAUAUGGCCUCAGAACACUGGAGACCGAAAGGUUGAGCAUGAAUCAUAUAGUAGAUAUGAUCAACAUAAUGAUGUUCACCAUUGAAAACUACUCCAUCUCACGUGAUGAUCGAACAUGGUUUAGUUGAUUUGGAUCACGUGAUCAUUUAGAUGACUAGAGGGAUGUCUAUAUAAGUGGGAGUUCUUAAGUAAUAUGAUUAAUUGGACUUAAAUUUAUCAUGAACUUAGUACCUGAUAGUAUUUUGCUUGUCUAUGUUAUUGUAGAUAGAUGGCCCGUGCUGUUGUUCCGUUGAAUUUUAAUGCGUUCCUUGAGAAAGCAAAGUUGAAAGAUGAUGGUAUGAAUUACACAGACUGGGUCCAUAACUUGAGGAUUAUCCUCAUUGUUGCAUGGAAGAAUUACGUCCUGGAAGCACCGCUGGGUGCCAGGCCUGCUGCAGGUGUUGCUGAUGAUGUUAAGAACGUCUGGCAGAGUAAAGCUGAUGACUACUCAAUAGUUCAGUGUGCCAUGCUUUACGGCUUAGAACCAGGACUUCAACGAUGUUUUGAACAUCAUGGAGCGUAUGAGAUGUUCUAGGAGUUGAAGUUAAUAUUUCAAGCAAAUGCCCGGAUUGAGAGAUAUGAAGUCUCCAAUAAGUUCUAUAGCUAUAAGAUGGAGGAGAAUAGUUCUGUCAGUGAACAUGUACUCAAAAUGUCUGGGUAUCAUAACCACUUGACUCAAUUGGGAGUUAAUCUUCCUGUUGAUAGUGUCAUUGACAGAGUUCUUCAAUCACUGCCACCAAGAUACAAGAGCUUCGUGAUGAACUAGAAUAUGCAAGGGAUGAAUAAGACAAUUCCCGAGCUCUUCGCAAUGCUAAAGGCAGCGGAGGUAGAAAUCAAGAAGGAGCAUCAAGUGUUGAUGGUCAACAAGACCGCCAGUUUCAAGAAAAAGGGUAAAGGGAAGAAGAAGGGGAACUUCAAGAAGAACGGCAAGCAAGUUGUUUCUCAGGAGAAGAAACCCAAGUCUGGACCUAAACCUGAGACUGAGUGCUUCUACUGCAAACAGACUGGUCACUAGAAGCAGAACUGCCCCAAGUAUUUGGCGGAUAAGAAGGAUGGCAAGGUGAACAAAGGUAUAUGUGAUAUACAUGUUAUUGAUGUGUACCUUACCAGAGCUCGCAGUAGCACCUGGGUAUUUGAUACUAGUUCUGUUGCUAAUAUUUGCAACUCGAAACAGGGACUACGGAUUAACCGAAGACUGGCUAAGGACGAGGGGACGAUGCGCGUGGGAAAUGGUUCCAAAGUCGAUGUGAUCGCUGUCGGCACGCUACCUCUACAUCUACCUUCGGGGUUAGUUUUAGACCUGAAUAAUUGUUAAUUUGUGCUAGCGUUGAGCAUGAACAUUAUAUCUGGAUCUUGUUUGAUGCGAUACGGUUAUUCAUUUAAAUCUAAGAAUAAUGGUUGUUCUAUUUAUAUGAGUAAUAUCUUUUAUGGCCAUGCACCCAUGAAGAGUGGUCUAUUUGUGUUAAAUCUUGAUAGUAGUGACACACAUAUUCAUAAUGUUGGAGCCAAAAGAUGCAGAGUUGAUAAUGAUAGUGCAACUUAUUUGUGGCACUGCCGUUUAGGUCAUAUUGGUGUAAGGCGCAUGAAGAAACUACAUACUGAUGGACUUCUGGAAUCACUUGAUUAUGAAUCACUUGGUACUUGCGAACCAUGCCUCAUGGGCAAGAUGACUAAAAUGUCGUUCUCCGGAACAAUGGAGUGAGCAACAGACCUGUUGGAAAACAUACAUACUGAUGUAUGUGGUCCGAUGAAUAUUGAGGCUCGCGGCGGGUAUCGUUAUUUUCUCACCUUCACAGAUGAUUUGAGCAGAUAUGGAUAUAUCUACUUAAUGAAACAUAAGUCUGAAACAUUUGAAAAGUUCAAAGAAUUUCAGAGUGAAGUGGAAAAUCAUCGUAACAAGAAAAUAAAGUUUCUACGAUCUGAUCGUGGAGGAGAAUAUUUGAGUUACGAGUUUGGUCUACAUUUGAAACAAUGCGGAAUAGUUUCGCAACUCAUGCAACGUGGAACACCAUAGCGUAAUGGUGUGUCCGAACAUCGUAAUCGUACUUUACUAGAUAUGGUGCGAUCUAUGAUGUCUCUUACUGAUUUACUGCUAUCGUUUUGGGGUUAUACUUUAGAGAUGGCUGCAUUCAUGUUAAAUAGGGCACCAUCUAAAUCCGUUGAGACGACUCCUUAUGAACUGUGGUUUGGCAAGAAACCAAAGUUGUCAUUUUUUAAAGUUUGGGGUUGCAUGCUUAUGUGAAAAAGCUUCAACCUAAUAAGCUCGAACCCAAAUCGUAAAAAUGUGUCUUCAUAGGAUACCCAAAAGAAACAGUUGGGUACACCUUCUAUCACGGAUCUGAAGGCAAGACUUUUGUUGCUAAGAAUGGAUCCUUUCUAGAGAAGGAGUUUCUCUCAAAAGAAGUGAGUGGGAGGAAAGUAGAACUUGAUGAGGUAACUGUACCUGCUCCCUGAUAACCCACAAGUAUAGGGGAUUGCAACAGUUUUCGAGGGUAAAGUAUUCAACCCAAAUUUAUUGAUUCGACACAAGGGGAGCCAAAGAAUACUCUCAAGUAUUAGCAGCUGAGUUGUCAAUUCAACCACACCUAGAAACUUAAUAUCUGAAGCAAAGUAUUUAGUAGCAAGGUAAUAUGAUAGUAGUGAUAACGGUAACAAAUGGUAACGGUAGUAAAAGCAAUGUUUUUGGUAUUUUGUAGUGAUGAUAGCAAUAGCAAUGGGAAAGUAAAUAAGCGAAGAACAAUAUAUGGAAAGCUCGUAGGCAAUGGAUCGGUGAUGGAGAAUUAUGCCGGAUGCAGUUCAUCAUGUAACAGUCAUAACCUAGGGUGACACAGAACUAGCUUCAGUUCGUCAAUGUAAUGUAGGCAUGUAUUCUGAAUAUAGUCAUACGUGCUUAUGGAAAAGAACUUGCAUGACAUGUUUUGUCCUACCCUCCCGUGGCAGCGGGGUCCUUACGGAAACUAAGGGAUAUUAAGGCCUCCUUUUAAUAGAGAACCGGAAAAAAAUCAUUAACACAUAGUGAAUACAUGAACUCCUCAAACUACGGUCAUCACCGGUAAGUAUCCCGAUUAUUGUCACUUCGGGGUUAACGGAUCAUGACACAUAAUAGGUGAGUAUAGACAUGCAAGAUAGGAUCAAGAACACUCAUAUAUUGAUGAAAACAUAAUAGGUUCAGAUCUGAAAUCAUGGCACUCGGGCCCUAGUGACAAGCAUUAAGCAUAGAAAAGUCAUAGCAACAUCAAUCUCAGAACAUAGUGGAUACUAGGGAUCAAACCAUAACAAAACUAACUUGAUUACAUGAUAGAUCCCAUCCAACCCCUCACCGUCCAGCAAGCCUACGAUGGAAUUACUCAUGCACGGCGGUGAGCAUCAUGAAAUUGGUGAUGGAGGAUGGUUGAUGAUGACGAUGGCGACGGAUUCCCCUCUCUAGAGCCUCGAACGGACUAUAGAUCGACCCUCCCGGGAGGUUUUAGGGCUUGGCGGCGGCUCCGUAUCGUAAAACGCGAUGAUUUCUUCUCUCUGAUUUUUUCUCCCUGAAACUCAAUAUAUGGAGGUGGAGUUGGAGUCGGAGAGGCAACAGGGGGCUUACAUAUAAAAGAUACUUGAAUAAGAGUUUUUCAAUGAAAUACCUCGGUGAAGCUGCUUACAUAUUGGGCAUCAAGAUCUAUAGAGAUAGAUCAAGCCGCUUAAUUGGACUUUCACAAAGGACAUUCCUUGACAAAGUUUUGAAGAAGUUCAAAAUGGAUCAGGCAAAGAAAGGGUUCUUGCCUGUGUUACAAGGUGUGAAGUUGAGUAAGACUCAAUGCCCGACCACUUCAGAAGAUAGAGAGAAAAUGAAAGAUGUUCCCUAUGCUUCAGCCAUAGGCUCUAUCAUGUAUGCAAUGUUGUGUACCAGACAUGAUGUGUGCCUUGCUAUUAGUUUAGCAGGGAGGUACCAAAGUAAUCCAGGAGUGGAUCACUGGACAGCGGUCAAGAACAUCGUGAAGUGCCUGAAAAGGACUAAGGAUAUGUUUCUCGUUUAUGGAGGUGAGAAAGAGCUCAUCGAAAAUGGUUACGUUGAUGCACGCUUUGACACUGAUUCGGGCGAUUCUAAAUCGCAAACCGGAUAUGUGUUUAUAUUGAACGGUGGUGCUGUUAGUUGGAGCAGUUCUAAACAGAGCGUCGUGGCGUGAUCUACAUGUGAAGUGGAGUACAUUGCUGCUUCGGAAGCAGCAAAUGAAGGAGUCUGGAUGAAGGAGUUCAUCUCUGAUCUAGGUAUCAUACCUAGUGCAUCGGGUCCAAUGAAAAUCUUUUGUGACAAUACUGGUGCAAUUUCCUUGGCAAAAGAAUCCAGAUUUCACAAGAGAACCAAGCACAUCAAGAGAUGCUUCAACUCCAUCCAGAAUCAAGUCCAGGUGGGAGACAUAGAGAUUUGCAAGAUACAUACGGAUCUGAAUGUUGUAGACCCGUUGACUAAGCCUCUUCCACGAGCAAAACAUGAUCAGCACCAAGGCUCCAUGGGUGUUAGAAUCAUUACUGUGUAAUCUAGAUUAUUGACUCUAGUGCAAGUGGGAGACUGAAGGAAAUAUGCCCUAGAGGCAAUAAUAAAGUUAUUAUUUAUUUCCUUAUAUCAUGAUAAAUGUUUAUUAUUCAUGCUAGAAUUGUAUUAACCAGAAACAUGAUACAUGUGUGAAUACAUAGACAAACAGAGUGUCACUAGAAUGCCUCUACAUGACUAGCUCGUUGAUCAAAGAUGGUUAUGUUUCCAAGCCAUAGACAUGAGUUUUCAUUUGAUUAAUGGGAUCACAUCAUUAGGAGAAUUAUGUGAUUGACUUGACCCAUUCCGUUAGCUUAGCACUUGAUCGUUUAGUAUGUUGCUAUUGCUUUCUUCAUGACUUAUACAUGUUCCCAUGACUAUGAGAUUAUGCAACUCCCGUUUAUCAGAGGAACACUUUGUGUGCUACCAAACAUCACAACAUAACUGGGUGAUUAUAAAGGUGCUCUACAGGUGUCUCCGAAGGUACUUGUUGAGUUGGCAUAUUUCGAGAUUAGGAUUUGUCACUCCGAUUGUCGGAGACGUAUCUCUAGGCCCACUCAGUAAUGCACAUCACUAUAAGCCUUGCAAGCAUUGUAACUAAUGAGUUAGCUGCGGAAUGAUGUAUUACGGAACGAGUAAAGAGACUUUCCGGUAACAAGAUUGAACUAGGUAUUGAGAUAUCGAUGAUCGAAUCUCGGGCAAGUAACAUACCGAUGACAAAGGGAACAACGUAUGUUGUUAUGCGGUUUGACCGAUAAAGAUCUUCAUAGAAUAUGUCGGAGCCAAUAUGAGCAUCCAGGUUCCGCUAUUGGUUAUUGACCGGAGACGUGUCUCGGUCAUGUCUACAUAGUUCUAGAACCCGUAGGGUCCGCACGCUUAAAGUUCAGUGACGAUCGGUAUUAUGAGUUUUUGUGUUUUGAUGUACCGAAGGUAGUUCGGAGUCCCGGAUAUGAUCAUGGACAUGACAAGGAGUCUCGAAAUGGUCGAGACGUAAAGAUCGAUAUAUUGGACGACUAUGUUCGGACACCGGAAAGGUUUCGGACAUAUACCAGAGUACCGGGGGGUNNNNNNNNNNNNNNNNNNNNNNNNNNNNNNNNNNNNNNNNNNNNNNNNNNNNNNNNNNNNNNNNNNNNNNNNNNNNNNNNNNNNNNNNNNNNNNNNNNNNNNNNNNNNNNNNNNNNNNNNNNNNNNNNNNNNNNNNNNNNNNNNNNNNNNNNNNNNNNNNNNNNNNNNNNNNNNNNNNNNNNNNNNNNNNNNNNNNNNNNNNNNNNNNNNNNNNNNNNNNNNNNNNNNNNNNNNNNNNNNNNNNNNNNNNNNNNNNNNNNNNNNNNNNNNNNNNNNNNNNNNNNNNNNNNNNNNNNNNNNNNNNNNNNNNNNNNNNNNNNNNNNNNNNNNNNNNNNNNNNNNNNNNNNNNNNNNNNNNNNNNNNNNNNNNNNNNNNNNNNNNNNNNNNNNNNNNNNNNNNNNNNNNNNNNGGGCCUUAGUGGAAAUAGAGGGCAGCAAGGGGAGUGUGGCCCCCCCCCAAGACCAAACCAAAUUGGUUUAGGGCAAAGGGGGUCGGCCCCCUCUUUCCUUCUCCUCCUCUCCCUUUCCUUCCCGCUCUCCUACUCCUACUAGGAAAAGGAGGAGUCCUACUCCUAGUGGGAGUAGGACUCCCCCUCUUGGCGCGCCUCUCCCUGGCCGGCCGCCUCCUCCCCCUUGAUCCUUUAUAUACGAGGGCAGGGGGCACCCCAUAGACACAACAAUUGAUCAUUGAUCUCUUAGCCAUGUGCGGUGCCCCCCCCCCUCCACCAUAAUCCACCUCGAUCAUAUCGUAGCGGUGCUUAGGCGAAGCCCUGCGUCGGUAGCAUCAUCAUCACCAUCACCAUGCCGUCGUGCUGAAGAAACUCUCCUGUGAAGCUUUGCUGGAUUGGAGCUCGCGGGACAUCAUCGAGUUGAACGUGUGCUGAACUCGGAGGUGCCGUGCGUUCAGUACUUGGAUCGGUCGGAUCAUGAAGACGUACGACUACAUCAACCGCAUUGUGCUAACGCUUCUGCAUUCGAUCUACGAGGGUACGUGGACACACUCUCCCCUAUCGUUGCUAUGCAUCACCAUGAUCCUAUGUGUGCGUAGGAAAUUUUUUUGAAAUUACUAUGUUCGCCAACACGGGCAUCCUCGGUCCGCACCCCACCCGCCCACAGGCGCACUUCGCCGCUGCCCCGUACCAGGUGACGGGCGGCGGCUACCCGGCGAGUGGAGGUGGCUACCUGCAGGCGCUCACGCCUAAGCCGGGCGGCUAUGUGCCACCCCCCACGCCAAUCCAGCCCGAAGGUUACUCCCUCCCGCCGGCCCCGUGGGACCCUGCACUUCUCGCUGCUCUGCACUCGGCGCCGUCUCCCUCCACCUACGGAGGUGGCGGUGAUUGGUACAUGGACACGGGGGCUACCACCCACAUGACGUCGCACCCCGGUAACCUUGCUUCCUCCUUUCCGAUCAUCACCUCGAACCGCAUCACCUUCGGUGAUGGUUCUUCCGUACACAUUACUCAUGUCGGUCAUAGUUUCUUUUCGUCUAAUUCUAUGCCUAUUAACAUGACUAAUGUUCUUGUCUCACCUAACCUAGUUAAAAAUCUUGUCUCCAUUCGUCGUCUUGCACGUGACAAUCCUCUCACCGUUGAAUUUGAUGGUCCUGGUUUCUUUGUGAAGGACGCUCGUACACAGAUGGUACUCCACCAAUGUGACAGCCCAAAUGACUUAUAGCGAGUGCACUCCGGCUCCACCGCCACCGCCACCACCUCUCCGGUCGCCCUCUCCACCAGUGUCUACCUUUGGCAUGCACGCUUGGGUCACCCCAACUCCACCGUCCUUUGUCAGAUUCUCGAAAAAAUUCAUUUUCAUGUAAUAAAUUCGACGAGCACACUUGUCAUGCUUGCCAUCUCGGUAAACAUGUUCGUCGACCCUUUAGCGAGUCAAACACUAUUUCUACUUUUCCGUUUCAGUUAAUUCAUAGUGAUGUAUGGACAUCUCACUACUGGAAUCAUCUUCUUUGCCGUCCGCCAUGGCAGACGGCAAAGGCAUAGAUGGCGGACGGCAAAGUUCUUUGCCGUCAACCAGCUGACGGCAACAGGUCCGGCUGAAUAGGCUACGACAAAGGCUUCUUUGUCGUCAGCUGGCGGACGGCAAAGAUGAAACGGUCUUUGUCGUCAGCCGGCUGACGGCAAAGGUCCUGGAUGGCACACGUGACAACGUCUGGCCGUUAGGGGGCUAACUGUGAGCUUUGUCGUCAGCUGGCGGACGGCAAAGACCAUUGCACCUUUGUCGUCAGCCAGCGGACGGCAAAGUAACCAAAUAGGACAGCCCCCAGGCUAUACAGGGAGCUGCCAUGUGGCAUCUUUGCCGUCCGCUGGAGGACGGCAAAUUUCUUUGCCGUCCGCUGGAGGACGGCAAAUUUCUUUGCCGUCCGCCAGCGGACGGCAAAGAUCCUGUAUAGCCCUUGUUUUUUGUGUUUUUUCUUAAAUUCAUUCAAUUUGAACACACAAGUUUGAACGCACAAAUUUCAACACACAAAUUUCACAAAAGACGUAUCCAACACACAAGUUUCAUCAUAUAUACAUACAUAACCAACACAUAGUUCCAUCCAUACAUAUUACAAAAGUUUCACAUUGUUCAUCCAACACCGUUAUCCAUCCAUCCAUGCAAGUUCAUCGAUACAAAAUAAAAGCAGAAAGGGAAAAGAAGCACUACAUCCAUGCAAGCUUUCAUGAAUUAAAUGAGAUCUACAAAAUGGGAAACAAGAAAGUUAGAAGAAGAAGAAGAAGAAAAUGAAGAAGAAGAAGAAGAAGACUGGAAUAAGAAGUCAGCAUACUUAGGUAAAAUGGAGCUAACCUAGCUAAUUAUGCCAUCUUUGAGUGAACUAAGCAUAUUAUGCCAUCUUGGUCAUUUUGGAGCUAACCUAGGUAAACUAGGUCAUUUUGGAGCUAACCUAGGUAAAGUUGGUCAUUUUGGAGCUAACCUAGGUAAACUUGGUCAUUUUGGAGCUAACCUAGGUAAAUUAGGUCAUUUUGGAGCUAACCUAGGUAAACUUGGUCAUUUUGGAGCUAACCUAGGUAAACUAGGUCAUUUUGGAGCUAACCUAGCUAAAAUGGAUCAUAUUGGAGCUAACCUAGGUAAACUUGGUCAUUUUGGAGCUAACCUAGCUAAAAUGGAUCAUAUUGGAGCUAACCUAGGUAAACUUGGUCAUUUUGGAGCUAACCUAGGUUAAAUGGGUCAUUUUGGAGCUAACUUAACUAAUUAUGCCAUUUUUGAGUUAACUAAGCAUAAUUAUGCCAUUUUUUACACAAGUAAGCCAAGUGUAUGUCAUUAUUGAGCAAACCUAGGAAACUAAGCAUAUUAGAGAUAACUUAGCAUAUUAGAGCUAACUUAUGUCAUUUCGGAGGAAACAAAGCUAAGUAUAUAUAGAUCAUUCUGGAGAUCUGACAUACCUGACAUAGUUCACUCCUCAUUCUUCUUCUCCUUCUCCUUCCUCAUCCUGAUGCGCCAAGAGCGGCGAGGCGGUGGAGGUAGUGGGAUGUAGUCUUCUACCACAAUUGGCAUGGUCAUGUCGCCCGGCUGUGGGAUCGCCGGUGCCACCACCAUCGCGAGGUCAUUGUCAGGCACCGCCACCAUCGCGAGGCCAUCUUCAGGAAGCACCAUCGCUAGGUCAUCCUCGGCCACCACCAUCUCUUGCCCAUCGUCAGCCACCACCAUCGCUACGUGAUCCUCAGCCACCACCAUCUGUUGCCCAUUGUCAGCCUGCACCUCCUCAUCCCCACUCUGCUCCUCUUCUUCCCCACUCCAUUCCAGAUCAUCCUCGCUGCUACUUUUUCUGCAGCUAGAGUCGCUGCUGCUUUGGCUGUAGCCAGAGUCGCUACUGCUGCUCCCAUUGCCUGACCAAAUGUAACAAUGACCGUUAACAAUCGAUGUGAGACAAAGCAAAAUGUAGAGGAAGAAUAGGCAGAAUGUACUGGCAUCAUCGUCGUCCUGGUAGUGCAUGCGACACAUAGUCGUGUUGAACACCUUCACGGUGAGCAUGGCGUCGCCGUCGUACCUGAAGAGAAGGAAGUACCCGUGCCGCGGGUCAUAGGCAUGGUAGAACUGCUCCCAGCCACGACACAGGUACAUGUGGCCGUACCUGAUCACCAACUCCAUGUCCCAAAGCCUGCGAAGCCCGCUGUCGGCCUGUCGCAGCUUCACAUUCUUUGGCCGAUGGCCGUCUAGCAUCAUCAUAAAAGUGCCAGGAAGCCUCUGCAGUUUGGGAGAAGGAGUGAUGUAGCAAACAACAUAGUUAUCAUAAUGAGAUGGGUGAAGGGGAGAUCUCUCCUUUUAUAUACCUGCCUCUUGGAGGAAGUCCCAAGUAUGAUAUUGAAGAACUCGAAAGCAUCCAACUCGUACUCCGGUGUGGCAGAGCGGAGCCUGCGGUGACGGCCUCCCCCCAUCUCUAAUAAGCAACAGAAGAGACCAAUUAGUAUCUAGCUAGAAGCAUAUCUAUAAACAUAGAGCCAAGUUUCUAGACAUGAAAGAAAACUGAGAAAAAAAGCAAUGCACUUGUGCUCAACAACAUCAACAACACUUAAUUAAUUUGGUAGGUUAGUUGGCAAUGGCAAUUGGCACCCUUCAAAACUAGGAAUUUCUUCAGACGUGAAAGAAAACUGAAAAUGUUGAAAAAAGAGCAUAGUAAUCUAAAAAUAGGGAAAAAUACACUUCUUCUUCCUCCUCUUUAUCUUCUUCUUCUUAUUUUUUUCAUCUUUCUUCUUUCUUCUUAACCAAAACUAAACCUAAAGUUCGUUGUGGUGUGAUCACACUGGAAUACUUGUGGCAACAAUCAUAGUUGCACCAUAUUUUAGGUGGCUCUAGGUGCCACACACCAAGCAAACAAACAUACCUCAAAUAAGAAACUAAGGGUAGUGUCCUAAAAUCAAUUUACUUUGUAUGCAAAUCAGAACAAGCUAGUACCACAUCACAUUACCAUAGGAUCCUAUUACAGAAAAGGUAUGUAAAUGCAAGCUGGGGUAAGACAUUAUAACCAUACUACAAUCUUAUACUUGCUCAACUAUGAUCACAGGAGACGCAACUAACAUAUGAGUUUGAGGCACACACACCUCAAUAAUGAUGUUGCCACUUGCCAGGAAUGUGACCGUCGCAGUCACUCCGAUCAACACGACCUCCUGUUUAGAUUGAGAUUAUGCUUUCAUGCCUAUGCUAGUGAGAAAGGCACGCUAGACUUUCCUUCGGCUUGCUGAAUGUAUAGUUUGCCUUUCCGCAAAAAAGAAAAGAAAAAGACGAGUAUAGUUUGCCUCUUAUGACAGAUUCCAUAAGCAAUAUGCAUGCCUUGUUGUUUUCUCAAAUUAAACUAAUUCGAGUGUUGCUGAUUACUUCAACAGGUUCAUGCUUAAUUAUUUCAAUAUUAUUUAAAAUGCUUUAUUAUGUGUUGUUCUUGUAGGGAGCAAAAUUAUCAUACUAUAGGGAACUUAUCUAGUUAUAUUAAUAUCGCUGAGAUGAUAUCUCCUGAAAAAAGUAACACUGCAUACUCAAGUGUGAUCAGCAGCUGGAUUAUACACCAUGCUUCACAUCAGUGCACCAGCACCGCAUUUCAGUAGCAGGCUACGCAUCUUGAGCUACUGGUGUGUAUCAGCAAACUAUCAGGUUCUAUUCGCACGGACCCUAAGAACUUCCAAGUCUGGAUGAGCUAUCAUAAUCAAUUCUUGCACUGCAAUAUAAGGCUCUCUGCUCUAAACCUAAACUAAAGUAAACCUAAACUAAACCAAACCUAAAGUAAGCCUAAACUAAACUUAAAAUAUAGAAACAAAAACAUAAAAAAUGCAAGAGGUCUCACCGGGUGGAGGAGGGGGCGCUGGAGGGGUGGGCGGCCGCGGUGGUGGAGGAGAGGGGCGCCGGGGCGGUCGGAUGGAGGAGGGGGCGCCGGAGCGGCGGGGCGGCCGCGGUGGUGGAGNNNNNNNNNNNNNNNNNNNNNNNNNNNNNNNNNNNNNNNNNNNNNNNNNNNNNNNNNNNNNNNNNNNNNNNNNNNNNNNNNNNNNNNNNNNNNNNNNNNNNNNNNNNNNNNNNNNNNNNNNNNNNNNNNNNNNNNNNNNNNNNNNNNNNNNNNNNNNNNNNNNNNNNNNNNNNNNNNNNNNNNNNNNNNNNNNNNNNNNNNNNNNNNNNNNNNNNNNNNNNNNNNNNNNNNNNNNNNNNNNNNNNNNNNNNNNNNNNNNNNNNNNNNNNNNNNNNNNNNNNNNNNNNNNNNNNNNNNNNNNNNNNNNNNNNNNNNNNNNNNNNNNNNNNNNNNNNNNNNNNNNNNNNNNNNNNNNNNNNNNNNNNNNNNNNNNNNNNNNNNNNNNNNNNNNNNNNNNNNNNNNNNNNNNNNNNNNNNNNNNNNNNNNNNNNNNNNNNNNNNNNNNNNNNNNNNNNNNNNNNNNNNNNNNNNNNNNNNNNNNNNNNNNNNNNNNNNNNNNNNNNNNNNNNNNNNNNNNNNNNNNNNNNNNNNNNNNNNNNNNNNNNNNNNNNNNNNNNNNNNCGGGGCUGCUGGGGCGGCGCGGCGACGGGGGUGCCGCGGGGCGGCGGCGGCACAGGGGCGGGGUGGCGCAGGGCGGCGGAGGCUCGGGUGCGGGUGGAGAGAGAGAGGGGACAGAGAGAUGGGGCGGGGGCGGGCGUCGAUGGAUUUUAGUUAGGGCACGGUUAUUUUCCGUCCGCCAGCAGACGGCAAAGAUCCUAGCUAACGGACGUUAGCUUGGCCACUUUCUUUGCCGUCUGCUAGCGGACGGCAAAGAAAGUGUCCGUUAGGUGGUUCUCGGUAGUGGGCCACCCUCAUUCUUUGCCAUCCCGGACGACAAAGAUUCUAUGUCGUCUGCUGGCGGACGGCAAAGAGUUGGCUAACGGCAAAUAGCGUUUUUGCCAUCAGCCCUUUCUUUGUCGUCCGCUUUGUGGAAGCGGACGGCAAAGAGGCUCUUUGCCGUCAGCUGGCCGACGGCAAAGAGGAGGCAGACGACAAAAUGCCAGAUUCUAGUAGUGUCUCCCUUUGCAAGCCACACAGGUUUCUUAUAUUAUCUUGUUUUACUUGAUGAUUUCUCUCAUUUUGCGUGGACGUUUCCACUCCCUCGCAAAUCCGAUGUCCUCGCCACCCUCACGACUUUUUACUCCUAUAUCACCACCCAGUUCGGAUGCCCUAUUCUCGCCCUCCAGACUGACAACGGAAAAGAGUUUGGCAACGCUGCCACUCGCCACCUUCUCGCGUCUCACGGCACCACUUUUCGUCUCACGUGCCCCUACACAUCCCAGCAGAACGGCCGCGCCGAGCGGAUUCUCUGCACUCUUAAUGAUUGUGUCCGCACGUUGUUGUUCCACUCCAACGUGCCCCUCGGUUUUGGCCCGACGCUCUCGCCACCGCCACUCUCCUAGUUAACAUCAGGCCAUGUCAUUCCCACUGGAAAUACACUCCGCACCAACUUCUCUUUGGUUCCCCUCCAUACUACGAUGGUCUCCGUAUCUUCGGUUGUCUGUGUUACCCAAGCACCGCCUCCACUACACCACACAAACUCGCCCCUCGCUCUGUAGUGUGUAUCUUCCUAGGCUAUCCCCCUAACACCAAAGGUUACCGGUGCUACGACCCCGUCUCCCACCGUGUGUACACCUCCCGACACGUGUACUUUGAUGAGCGGGUAUUUCCUUUUCACCAGGUACCACCUUCUGCAGAGGAUUCGACGCUCUUUGGCGGUGUUUCGGACGCGGCCCUGGUGCAGUCCCUGGCGUGGCUCCCUGCGGCCCUUCCCGGCGCGGCCUUGGUGCGCCCUUCCAUGGCGGCUCCCCAGGCCACGGGCCCCUCUGCCUCGGCCCCUGUUGCGGGCCCCUCUGCCGCGGCCCCCGCUGUGGGCCCCUCGGCCUCAGUCCCAGCGCGGCCCCCCGUGGCCUCGGGUGGCCUUCGGCUCCCACCCGACGGGUGCCGCGGCCAGUUCUACCGCACCGGCUGGCCCCGCUGCAACACUGAGAGCGACGGACUCUUCGCCACCCUCGUCCUUUGCUCCUGCCGCAGCCGACCCACCUCCCACUGGCAUGUUGACGCGGUCUCGCGCCGGUAUCCAUCGGCCCAGCAUGCGCAUGCCACUGAUGAGUAUGCGUGUGCGGUGUCGACACCGUCCUCUCCAUCGUCGCCCAUCCCCUUGUCUGCACGCGCCGCCCUCCGUGAUCCACAUUGGCUCGUCGCGAUGCGCGAAGAGCUUGAAGCGUUGCAGUGCAACCGUAACCGUACGUGGCAUCUUGUUCCGCGACCCCCUCACGCCAACGUCAUCAGUGGCAAAUGCGUGUUUCAUCACAAGACCAACCCUGAUGAUUCUCUCGAGCGCUACAAGGCUCGCUAGGUGGUGCGCGGCUUUUGCCAGCGCGCCGGCGUGGACUUUGUGACACCCCAAAAAUUUGGCCUUGUUUUAUUAAAUUAAAAUUUUUGCCAGGAAUUAAAACUUUGGAUUUUUGAGCUCCACUUUUGAUUUUUUUUAAAUCAUUUCCUUCCCUGUUAUGAUGAGUUUUUUUUUCUCCAAAAAGAAAACUUUUCAAAAAUGUUGUUGGACUUGUUUUAACCUCUCAAGAAAAACUUUCCUUUUAUCAGUGUAACUAAUUAAUAAUUAUGUUGCUUGAUCUUUAUUUUCUUGAAAAGGGUUUUUCUAGGUUAAAUGGCCAUAUUUGAACUGCAACCAUUUGAUAGAUUCACUUAAAAUUUCCACAAAAAUUUGGAGAUGUCAUGUGAUGUUUUUAAAUCACUUUUAUGCAAAAAUAUAUUUCAUUCACUAAAUAUUUUGAGCCCUACUCUCAAUUUUUCUUCUCUGGUCCAGAGUGCAUUUUGCACUACAACCUAUUUAAAUAUUUCUUUAAUACUCCUACCAAAAUUAGGGGAGGUCAGUAGGAGCCUAUUAUUCCACUUUGUGCAAAAAUCCAGGGUUGUUCUUUGAAAAUAUUGAGUGAAUCAACCUCAUUUCCAUUCUGGACCAACUUGAGGAUUUGUACAGCAACCACCAUUUUAGUUGCUCCUAUACCCUUAAUUAUUUCUUCUACUUGUAGUCCCCCAUGUUAAACCCUUAAGUCCAGGAGCAUGCACCAUUUAGAUCAUUUUUGGUUCAUGGAAUAAUGCUAUUUAUUUUCUGUCCAGAAAUGUAGUUUUGCAAAACUUGCACUAGCAAGUUUCCCCUUUUGUCCUAAUAACCACACCACUUCCUCUUUCAUCCACAGAGACACUGAUCUGGAGAUUUUGGCCACUCCAAGAAAUGCCCAAGUGCCCUUGGCAUUUUGUCAAACACCUGGUGUGCAUGGCCAGUUUUGACAUGAUUUUGUCUUUGCAUUGUGACCUUGAGCCUUGGAUCAUACCAGCUUGUCCAAUAGUUUUGCCUUAGACUAUAACCCCACCCUGCUAAAUCCCAGCUCCAACCAAGCGCUCUGGAGUGCCAUGGCAUUUUGUCGAGCACAUUCAGUGCGUGCACUGGACGCGCCCAGAGCGCGCAUAUUGCACCCGUGCACCGAGCCGACACGCUGGCCCCCACGGCUUUGGCCCGCUCUGCAGAACCUUGCCGCGCACUCCCUUUCUCUCCACUACGCGCCAAGCAGCCCCCGCCGCGCCCGGCAGGCCAAGCGCUAGCCGCCGCCGCCCGACAGCCCUGCGCCGUUCAGCGCCGCCCAAGCCUCGCCCGCUCGCCACCUGGCCCUUGGAGCAGUGCGAGCUCAUCCGCAAGCGUGUCUGCUAGCCCUCGUCGCCGCCACGUCGCCCUAGCUACAGAACGUCGGUUCGCCGAAGAGCUUAUCCACGGCCGCCGCGGAACCGCCUUGCCACGCUAUAAAAGGGAAGCCCCGAGCGUCUCCAAGCCCUCAGGUAGCCUCAUGUCGUCUCACUAGCGCCCCCAUCGCCACCAAUUGGAAGGGAGCAGGUCUUCUUCAACCUCUCCGGUCAGUUCGGCCACCGCCGCCUCCCGGCUCCAUUCGGCGCAACCAGAGCUUCCUCCUCUCCGUUCUCUUCACCAGGAACCAUCUCAUCCUCCCGUGAACUCGUUCCCCUGCUUGAUUUUGAUCGGGAGCCGUCGCCACCACAAACUCACUUUGUCACCGAAGCUUCCCUCCGCCGCGGAGCUCGCCGCCGGCGAUUUACUCCUUCCCCAGCAACCCCUCGACCACCGGGAGAACCGCCCCAGCCGUGCGGAUCCAUCCCCACCCUCGGGGGCCCGCGAGGAACAGCCAAACGCCGGCGACGAUCGCCGGAGCCCGCUCCGCUCGGGCAGAGGAGGGAGACGACGCGCGGCGACUGGUCAAACCUGACCAGUGGGCCCCUGGACCCACUGUCAGCGACCCCGCGCCGUCCACGCUGGAGUAAGUGGAGGCGUCAUACCCGUAAUACGUCUUCUCUGCGCGAAAGCGUAAUCGCUUCAAAACGUUUUCUUUUCUGUUUUAAUUUAAUAACAGAUUUGACCAAAUCUUUGACUAGCUAUAACUUUUUAAAUAUAAGUCCAAAUGAAAUGAUUCUUUUUCCUACCUUCCUCAUAUUUGAUCUAGUUUAUUUUAAGAUUUAUUUGAAAAAAAUUCAAACAACUUUUUGGUUCUGUUUUUGAAAUAUGUGUUAAUUCAAAUAUAAUUUCAAAUAGGAUUUUGGGGAAAGAGAAGAAAACUUUCAAAAGUUUGGAGAGCACCCUGCCUUUCCACACAUUGAAGGCAAGCAUUCUGAAUCCCGGCAUAAUAUUUUUGGAGUGAUCGUUGAUGCAUUUAUAACACCACCGCAUUUCGAAGGACUUGUUAUUUCAUGUGAUAUGAUCAUAUGCAUGGGUGCAUGUUACUGAUUUCCAUGUUGUUGGUAAUGGAUACACUUGUGAUGAUAAUCACCCUCAUGAGCUUUACAUGCAUACCGGCAGGAAACCGGGAAAACCUCUGCCUUGGGUAGGUAUGAGUUUGUCGCCGGUCUCCGUCGGGACGGUUCUGUCUGGUAUGGCAUGGUAAGGUGAUAUGAGUGGUGACUCUGUUUGAUGAAAUAUAUUUGUUAUACUAAUCAUGCAGGGAAUACUUGAACCUCCUGAGUCGACCGUAGAUCGAGUCUUGUUCCAGUAACCCCCAUACUUGUUUCGUACUACCACUCGUCUCUACAGCAAGUAGAGUACGGUUCAGUAAGUUGUCAACCUCUUCUAGCACACACCGUACAGAGAGGCCAUGGUGGAAGAUACUGGUUGUAACUGGUAGGCAGGCCACCUGGUCCGGGGGCAUGGGUGUUUCCGGUUGGGACCGAGAGGGGAGGCCACCCCUUAGAGCGCGCGAUAUAAAUUUGAUCCCAUGCUACGCGAGGUUGUAGCCUCCCCACUUAGAGUUUGCUUAACAGGUGUCGUGGGUGAUUCCAGACACGUGUGUGAUAAGCUGGUGUGUGCAAGUUAGGUGUGUUUUCAACAAAAAGACCGUAGAUGGAAUUAGUCCCGAUGGACUAAAGAAAUCCGUUACUCGUGGGUAAAGAGUACACCCUCUGCAGAGAAUAAACCUAUUCGAAUAGCCGUGUCCAUGGUUAAGGAUUACAGUCUGGGAUGGGUCAAGUAUCGGUCUUAGUGUCGGUCUUCGGAGGUGAAACUAUUAAUCCAGAAAUGGAAUUACUACUUGUGACUGGUGAUAACUAUGAUUAUUAUUAUUGUUGACUAACCCAUGAUAUUAUUGUUAUUAUCGUGUAUCUCUGGGAUGGUUCUACCUCUGGGAUAUUCACUAUGUUUGUUUCUUUUAAAGCCCUUUAUGUGGCGUCGCCCAGACGCCCGACUGUGGCAUUUCUUCUAAAGCCCUUUAUGUGGUGUCGCUCAGACGCCCGACUGUGGCAUUUCUUUUAAAGCCCUUUAUGUGGUGUCGCCCAGACACCCGACUGUGGCAUUUCUUUUAGAGCCCUUUAUGUGGUGUCGCUCAGACGCCCGACUGUGGCAUUUCUUUUAAAGCCCUUUAUGUGGUGUCGCUCAGACGCCCGACUGUGGCAUUUCUUUUAAAGCCCUUUGUGUGGUGUCGCUAAGACGCCCGACUGUGGCAUUGCUUGUUAUUUAUUUCAUAUAACUUUUAUACUACUAUGUCAUUACAAUUUUAUAAAUAACAUGCUUGCACGCAUCCGAGAUUUAAUAUAUUUUGUGACUGACGUCGUGAGCAUAAAAAUAUUUUUAGCACAUCAUUGUUAUAUUGUACAUGUGUUCAUAAUGUUUGCGAGUACAUUCAAAGUACUCACUGGCUUGUCCCUGGCUAUUGUCUUGGCCAGAUUUCCUUGCACGGAGAGGAGCAACGCGAUGCCAGCCCCGAAACACACGCAAUGGAGAUAGCAGCCUCGUGAAGAUAGGAAUUAACCUGGUCAGCUGUUCCCGUGGGAAAUGGAGUCCCAUAGACACUGACGUUUCACAACCCGCUUCCGCCAUCAACCACUAGAAAGCAUUUGUUGUACUCACAGGCCAGAAUGGUCUUGUACUACAUAUUUUGUAUUUUGCUUGGAAUUUCUGUAUCAAGAUGGAGCCUCAUCAGCUAACAGUAAUCCUGGGGCUGAUGAGCACGACGGUCUUUUCCGGAAAUUGACUACCUGGAAAACCCGGUCGUGACAGACUUCGCCGACACCUUCGCCCCGAUCAUUAAACCGGGCACGAUACGCACAGUGCUUCAGCUGGCAGUCUCCUGUGCAUGUCCCGUGCAUCAGUUGGAUGUCUCCAACGCAUUUUUGCAUGGCCACCUCACGGAACAGGUCUUCUAUGAGCAGCCGACUGGCUUCGUCGAUGUCGAGCAUCCCGACCAUGUCUGCUUGCUCUCUCGGUCUCUUUAUGGACUGAAGCAGGCCCCCCGGGCAUGGUACCUGCGUAUGGCUGGGUUCUUGCAGCAGCUUGGGUUUCGCACAAGUCUCUCUUCGUCUACCAUUAGGGCACUACUACUGCGUACCUGCUGCUCUAUGUGGAUGACAUCAUCCUAAUGGCAUCCUUAUUGGUAACAUAGUAAUUUCAAAAAAAUUCCUAUGCACACGCAAGAUCAUGGUGAUGCAUAGCAACGAGAGGGGAGAGUGUCAUCCACGUACCGUCGUAGACCAUUAAGCGGAAGCGUUAUGACAACGCGGUUGAUGUAGUCGUACAUCUUCACGAUCGACUGAUCCUCGGUACCGAACGUACAGCACCACCGUGUUCAGCACACGUUCAGCUCAGUGAUGUCCCGCGAACUCACGAUCCAGUAGAGGUCGAGGGAGAGUUUUGUCAGCACGAUAGCAUGGUGACGAUGUUGAUGAAGCUACCGUCGCAGGGCUUCGCCUAAGCACUGCUACAGUAUGAUCGAGGCGGAUUAUGGUGGAGGGGGCACCGCACACGACUGGGAGAGAUCAAUGAUCAACUUGUGUGUCUUGGGGUGCCUCCCUGCCCCCGUAUAUAAAGGAGCAAGGGGGAGGCGGCCGGCCAGGAGGAGGGCGUGCCAAGGGGGGACUCCUACUCCCACCGGGAGUAGGACUCCUCCUUUCCUAGUAGGAGAAGGAGAAGGGGAAAGGGAAGGAGAGAGNNNNNNNNNNNNNNNNNNNNNNNNNNNNNNNNNNNNNNNNNNNNNNNNNNNNNNNNNNNNNNNNNNNNNNNNNNNNNNNNNNNNNNNNNNNNNNNNNNNNNNNNNNNNNNNNNNNNNNNNNNNNNNNNNNNNNNNNNNNNNNNNNNNNNNNNNNNNNNNNNNNNNNNNNNNNNNNNNNNNNNNNNNNNNNNNNNNNNNNNNNNNNNNNNNNNNNNNNNNNNNNNNNNNNNNNNCCCCCCCCGCCUCCCCUUCCUUGUCCAAUUCGGACUAGAGGGGGAGGGGGCACGCUGCCUGACCUGACUACCCCUCCUCUUCUCCACUAAGGCCCAAUAGGCCCAUUACAUCCCCCGGGGGUUCCGGUAAUCCCCCGGUACUCCGGUAUAUGUCUCAAACCUCCCGAAACACUUCCGGUGUCCGAACAUAGUCAUCCAAUAUAUCGAUCUUUACGUCUCAACCAUUUACAGACUCCUCGGCAUGUCCGUGAUCAUAUUCGGGAAUCCGAACUACCUUCGGUACAUCAAAACACAAAAACUCGUAAUAUCGAUCGUCACAGAACUUUAAGCAUGCGGACCCUACGGGUUCGAGAACUAUGUAGACAUGACCGAGACACGUCUCCGGUCAAUAACCAAUAGCGGAACCUGGAUGCUCAUAUUGGUUCCUACAUAUUCUACGAAUAUCUUUAUCGGUCAAACCGCAUAACAACAUACGUUGUUCCCUUUGUCAUCGGUAUGUUACUUGCCCGAGAUUUGAUCGUCGGUAUCUCAAUACCUAGCUCAAUCUCGUUACCGGCAAGUCUCUUUACUCGUUCUGUAAUGCAUCAUCCCGUAACUAACUCAUUAGUCACAUUGCUUGCAAGGCUUAUAGUGAUGUGCAUUACCGAGAGGGCCCAGAGAUACCUCUCCGACAAUCGGAGUGACAAAUCCUAAUCUUGAUCUAUGCCAACUCAACAAGUACCAUCGGAGACACCUGUAGAGCACCUUUAUAAUCACCCAGUUACAUUGUGACGUUUGGUGGCACACAAAGUGUUCCUCCGGUAUUCAGGAGUUGCAUAAUCUCAUAGUCAUAGGAACAUGUGUAAGCCAUGAGGAAAGCAAUAGCAACAAACUAAACGAUCAGCGUGCUAAGCUAACGGAUGGGUCAAGUCAAUCACACCAUUCUACUAAUGAUGUGAUCCCGUUAAUCAAAUGACAACUCAUGUCUAUGGCUAGGAAACUCAACCAUCUUUGAUCAACGAGCUAGUCAAGUAGAGGCAUACUAGUGACACUAUGUUUGUCUAUGUAUUCACACGUGUAUUAUGUUUCCGGUUAAUACAAUUCUAGCAUGAAUAAUAAACAUUUAUCAUGAUAUGAGGAAAUAAAUAAUAACUUUAUUAUUGCCUCUAGGGCAUAUUUCCUUCAGUCUCUCACUUGCACUAGAGUCAAUAAUCUAGAUUACACAGUAAUGAUUCUAACACCCAUGGAGUCUUGGUGCUGAUCAUGUUUUGCUCGUGGAAGAAGCUUAGUCAGCGGGUCUGCAACAUUCAGAUCCGUAUGUAUCUUGUAUAUCUCUAUGUAUCCCACCUGGACUUGAUCCCGGAUGGAAUUUCAGCGUCUCUUGAUGUGCUUGGUUCUCUUGUGAAAUCUGGAUUCCUUUGCCAAGGCAAUUGCACCAGUAUUGUCACAAAAGAUUUUCAUUGGACCCGAUGCACUAGGUAUGACACCUAGAUCGGAUAUGAACUCCUUCAUCCAGACUCCUUCAUUUGGUGCUUCCGAAGCAGCUAUGUACACCGCUUCACACAUAGAUCCCGCCACGACGCUUUGUUUAGGACUUCUCCAACUGACAGCUCCACCGUUCAAUAUAAACAUGUAUCCGGUUUGCGAUUUAGAAUCGUCCGGAUCAGUGUCAAAGCUUGCAUCGACGUAACCAUUUACGACGAGCUCUUUGUCACCUCCAUAAACGAGAAACAUAUCCUUAGUCAUUUUUAGGUAUUUUAGGAUGUUCUUGACCGCUGUCCAGUGAUCCACUCCUGGAUUACUUUGGUACCUCCCUGCUAAACUAAUAGCAAGGCACACAUUAGGUCUGGUACAUAGCAUUGCAUACAUGAUAGAGCCUAUGGCUGAAGCAUAGGGAACACUUUUCAUUUUCUCUCUAUCUUCUGCAGUGCUCGGGCAUUGAGUCUUACUCAACUUCACACCUUGUAACACAGGCAAGAACCCUUUCUUUGCUUGAUCCAUUUUGAACUUUUUGAAAACUUUAUCAAGGUAUGUGCUCUGUGGAAGUCCAAUUAAGCGUCUUGAUCUAUCUCUAUAGAUCUUGAUGCCCAAUAUAUAAGCAGCUACUCCGAGGUCUUUCAUUGAAAAACUCUUAUUCAAGUAUCCUUUUAUGCCAUCCAGAAAUUAUAUGUCAUUUCCAAUCAGCAAUAUGUCAUCCACAUAUAAUAUCAGAAAUGCUAUAGAGUUCCCACUCACUUUCUUGUAAAUACAGGCUUCUCCAAAAGUCUGUAUAAAACCAUAUGCUUUGAUCACACUAUCAAAACAUUUAUUAAAACUCCAAGAGGCUUGCACCAGUCCAUAAAUGGAUCGCUGGAGCUUGCACACUUUGUUAGCUCCCUUUGGAUCGACAAAACCUUCUGGUUGCAUCAUAUACAACUCUUCUUCCAGAAAUCCAUUCAAUGCAGUUUUGACAUCCAUUUGCCAAAUUUCAUAAUCAUAAAAUGCGGCAAUUGCUAACAUGAUUCGGACAGACUUAAGCAUCGCUACGGGUGAGAAAGUCUCAUCGUAGUCAACUCCUUGAACUUGUCGAAAACCUUUCACAACAAGUCGAGCUUUGUAGACAGUAGCAUUACUGUCAGCGCCAGUCUUCUUCUUGAAGAUCCAUUUAUUCUCGAUGGCUUGCCGAUCAUCGGGCAAGUCAACCAAAGUCCAUACUUUGUUCUCAUACAUGGAUCCCAUCUCAGAUUUCAUGGCCUCAAGCCAUUUGCGGAAUCUGGGCUCACCAUCGCUUCUUCAUAGUUAGUAGCUUCAUCAUGGUCUAGUAACAUGACUUCCAGAACAGGAUUACCGUACCACUCUGGUGCGGAUCUUACUCUGGUUCACCUACGAGGUUCGGUAGUAACUUGAUCUGAAGUUUCAUGAUCAUUAUCAUUAGCUUCCUCACGUAUUGGUGUAGGUGUCACAGGAACCGAUUUCUGUGAUGAACUACUUUCCAAUAAGGGAGCAGGUACAGUUACCUCAUCAAGUUCUAUUUUCCUCCCACUCACUUCUUUCGAGAGAAACUCCUUCUCUAGAAAGGAUCCAUUCUUAGCAACAAAUGUCUUGCCUUCGGAUCUGUGAUAGAAGGUGUACCCAACAGUCUCCUUUGGGUAUCCUAUGAAGACACAUUUCUCCGAUUUCGGUUCGAGCUUAUCAGGUUGAAGCUUUUUCACAUAAGCAUCGCAGCCCCAAACUUUAAGAAAUGACAACUUUGGUUUCCUGCCAAACCACAGUUCAUAAGGAGUCAUCUCAACGGAUUUCGAUGGUGCCCUAUUUAACGUGAAUGCAGCCGUCUCUAAAGCAUAACCCCAAAAUGAUAGCGGUAAAUCAGUAAGAGACAUCAUAGAUCGCACCAUAUCCAGUAAAGUACGAUUACGACGUUCGGAUACACCAUUACGUUGUGGUGUUCCGGGUGGCGUGAGUUGCGAAACUAUUCUGCAUUGUUUCAAAUGUAGACCAAACUCGUAACUCAAAUAUUCUCCUCCACAAUCAGAUCGUAGAAACUUUAUUUUCUUGUUACGAUGAUUUUCCAAUUCACUCUGAAAUUCUUUGAACUUUUCAAACGUUUCAGAUUUAUGUUUCAUCAAGUAGAUAUACCCAUAUCUGCUCAAAUCAUCUGUGAAGGUGAGAAAAUAACGAUACCCUCCGCGAGCCUCAAUAUUCAUCGGACCACAUACAUCAGUGUGUAUGAUUUCCAACAAGUUUGUUGCUCGCUCCAUUGUUCCGGAGAACGACAUUUUAGUCAUCUUGCCCAUGAGGCAUGGUUCGCAAGUACCAAGUGAUUCCAGAGGUCCAUCAGUAUGGAGUUUCUUCAUGCGCUUUACACCAAUAUGACCUAAACGGUAGUGCCACAAAUAAGUUGCACUAUCAUUAUCAACUCUGCAUCUUUUGGCUCCAACAUUAUGAAUAUGUGUGUCACUACUAUCAAGAUUUAACACAAAUAGACCACUCUUCAAGGGUGCAUGGCCAUAAAAGAUAUUACUCAUAUAAAUAGAACAACCAUUAUUCUUAGAUUUAAAUGAAUAACCAUCUCGCAUCAAACAAGAUCCAGAUAUAAUGUUCAUGCUUAACACCAAAUAACAAUUAUUCAGGUCUAAAAGUAAUCCCGAAGGUAGAUGUAGAGGUAGCGUGCCGACGGCGAUCACAUCGACUUUGGAACCAUUUCCCACGCGCAUCAUCACGUCGUCUUUAGCCAGUGUUCGCUUAAUCCGUAGUCCCUGUUUCGAGUUGCAAAUACUAGCAAUAGAACCAAUAUCAAAUACACAGGUGCUAUUGCGACCUCUAGUAAGGUACACAUCAAUAACAUGUAUAUCACAUAUACGUUUGUUCACCUUGCCAUCCUUCUUAUCCGCCAAAUACUUGGGGCAGUUCCGCUUCCAGUGACCAGUCCCUUUGCAGUAGAAGCACUCAGUCUCAGGCUUAGGUCCAGACUUGGGUUUCUUCUCUUGAGCUGCAACUUGUUUGCCGUUCUUCUUGAAGUUCCCUUUCUUCUUCCCUUUACCCUUUUUCUUGAAACUGGUGGUCUUGUUGACCAUCAACACUUGAUGCUCCUUCUUGAUUUCUACCUCUGCAGCUUUUAGCAUUGCAAAGAGCUCGGGAAUUGUCUUAUCCAUCCCUUGCAUAUUAUAGUUCAUCACGAAGCUCUUGUAGCUUGGUGGCAGUGAUUUAAGAAUUCUGUCAAUGACACUAUCAUCCAGAAGAUUAACUCCCAGUUGAAUCAAGUGAUUGCAGUACCCAGACAUUCUGAGUAUAUGUUCACUGACAGAACUAUUCUCCUCCAUCUUGCAGCUGUAGAACUUAUUGGAGACUUCAUAUCUCUCAAUCCGGGCAUUUGCUUGAAAUAUUAACUUCAACUCCUGGAACAUCUCAUAUGCUCCAUGACGUUCAAAAUGUCGUUGAAGUCCCGGUUCUAACCCGUAAAGCAUGGCACGCUGAACUAUCGAGUAGUCAUCAGCUUUACUCUGCCAGACGUUCUUAACGUCAUCAGCAGCAUCUGCAGCAAGCCUGGCACCUAGCGGUGCUUCCAGGAUGUAAUUCUUCUAUGCAGCAAUGAUGAUAAUCCUCAAGUUACGGACCCAGUCCGUGUAAUUGCUACCAUCAUCUUUCAACUUUGCUUUCUCAAGGAACGCAUUAAAAUUUAACGGAACAAUAGCACGGGCCAUCUAUCUACAAUAACAUAGACAAGCAAAAUACUAUCAGGUACUAAGUUCAUGAUAAAUUUAAGUUCAAUUAAUCAUAUUACUUAAGAACUCCCACUUAGAUAGACAUCCCUCUAAUCAUCUAAGUGAUCACGUGAUCCAUAUCAACUAAACCAUAACCAAUCAUGACGUGAAAUGGAGUAGUUUUCAAUGGUGAACAUCUCUAUGUUGAUCAUAUCUACUAUAUGGUUCAUGCUCGACCUUUCGGUCUCAGUGUUCCGAGGCCAUAUCUGCAUAUGCUAGGCUCGUCAAGUUUAACCCGAGUAUUCUGCGUGUGCAAAACUGUCUUACACCCGUUGUAGAUGAACGUUGAGCUUAUCACACCCGAUCAUCACGUGGUGUCUCGGCACGGCGAACUUUGGCAACGGUGCAUACUCAGGGAGAACACUUUUACCUUGAAAUUUAGUGAGAGAUCAUCUUGUAAUGCUACCGUCAAACAAAGCAAAAUAAGAUGCAUAAAGGAUAAACAUCACAUGCAAUCAAUAUAAGUGAUAUGAUAUGGCCGUCAUCAUCUUGUGCCUUUGAUCUCCAUCUCCAAAGCACCGUAGUGAUCACCAUUGUCACCGACGCGACACCUUGAUCUCCAUCGUAGCAUCGUUGUCGUCUCGCCAUCUAUUUCUUCUAUGACUAUCGCUACCGCUUAGUGAUAAAGUAAUGCAAUUAUAGGGUGAUUGCAUUGCAUACAAUAAAGCGACAACCAUAUGGCUCCUGCCAGUUGCCGAUAACUCCGUUACAAAACAUGAUCAUCUCAUACAAUAAGUAUAGCAUCAUGUCUUGACCAUAUCACAUCACAACAUGCCCUGCAACAAGUUAGACGUCCUCUACUUUGUUGUUGCAAGUUUUACGUGGCUGCUAUGGGCUGAGCAAGAACCGUUCUUACCUACGCAUCAAAAUCACAACGAUAGUUCGUCAAGUUAGUGUUGUUUUAACCUUCUCAAGGACCGGACGUAGCCACACUCAGUUCAACUAAAGUUGGAGAAACUGAAACCUGCCAGCCACCUGUGUGCAAAGCACGUUGGUAGAACCAGUCUCGCGUAAGCGUACGGGUAAUGUCGGUCCGGGCCGCUUUAUCCAACAAUACCACCGAACCAAAGUAUGACAUGUUGGUAAGAAGUAUGAAUUGUAUCGCCCACAACUCACAUGUGUUCUACUCGUGCAUAUAAUAUCUACGCAUAAACCUGGCUCGGAUGCCACUAUUGGUAACGUAGUAAUUUCAAAAAAAUUCAUACGCACACACAAGAUCAUGGUGAUGCAUAGCAACGAGAGGGGAGAGUGUCGUCCACGUACCCUCGUAGACCAUUAAGCGAAAGCGUUAUGACAACGCGGUUGAUGUAGUCGUACGUCUUCACGAUCGACCGAUCCUCAGUACCGAACAUACGACACCUCCGCAUUCAGCACACGUUCAGCUCGGUAACGUCCCGCGAACUCACGAUCUAGUAGAGGUCGAGGGAGAGUUUCCUCAGCACGACGGCGUGGUGACGAUGUUGAUGAAGCUACCGUUGCAGGGCUUUGCCUAAGCACCGCUACAGUAUGACCGAGGUGGAUUAUGGUGGAGGGGGGCACCGCACACGGCUGGGAGAGAUCAAUGAUCAACUUGUGUGUCUUUGGGGUGCCUCGCUGUCCCCGUAUAUAAAGGAGCUAGUGGGGAGGCGGCCGGCCAGGAGGAGGGCGCGCCAAGGGGGGAGUCCUACUCUCACCGGGAGUAGGACUCCUCCUUUCCUAGUAGGAGUAGGAGAAUGGGAAAGAGAAGGAGAGAGGAGGAAGGAAAGGGGGAAGUCGCCCCCCUUCCUUGUCCAAUUCGGACUAGAGAGGGAGGGGCGGGCGGCCUGCCCUGGCCGCCCCUCCUCUUCUCCACUAAGGCCCAAUAGGCCCAGUACAUUCCCCGGGGGGUUCCGGUAAUCCCCUGGUACUCCGGUAUAUGUCUGAAACCUCCAGAAACACUUCCGGUGUCCGAACAUAGUCAUCCAAUAUAUCGAUCUUUACAUCUCGACCAUUUUGAGACUCCUCGUCAUGUCCGUGAUCAUAUCCGGGACUCCGAACUACCUUAGGUACAUCAAAACUCAUAAUACCGAUCGUCACAGAACUUUAAGCGUGCGGACCCUAUGGGUUCGAGAACUAUGUAGACAUGACCGAGGCACGUCUCCGGUCAAUAACCAAUAGCGGAACCUGGAUGCUCAUAUUGGUUCCUACAUAUUCUACGAAGAUUUUUAUCGGUCAAACCGCAUAACAACAUACGUUGUUUCCUUUGUCAUCGGUGUGUUACUUGCCCGAGAUUCAAUCAUCGGUAUCUCAAUACCUAGCUCAAUCUCGUUACCAGAAGUCUCUUUACUCAUUAUGUAAUGCAUCAUCCCGUAACUAACUCAUUAGUCACAUUUCUUGCAAGGCUUAUAGUGAUGUGCAUUACCGAGAGGGCCCAGAGAUACCUCCCCGACAAUCGGAGUGACAAAUCCUAAUCUUGAUCUAUGCCAACUCAACAAGUACCAUCGGAGACACCUAUAGAGCACCUUUAUAAUCACCGAGUUAUGUUGUGACGUUUGGUAGCACACAAAGUGUUCCUCCGGUAUUCAGGAGUUGCAUAAUCUCAUAGUCAUAGGAACAUGUAUAAGUCAUGAAGAAAGCAAUAGCAACAAACUAAAUGAUCAUCGUGCUAAGCUAACGGAUGGGUCAAGUCAAUCACACCAUUCUACUAAUGAUGUGAUCUUGUUAAUCAAAUGACAACUCAUGUCUAUGGCUAGGAAACUCAACCAUCUUUGAUCAAUGAGCUAGUCAAGUAGAGGCAUACUAGUGACACUAUGUUUGUCUAUGUAUUCACACAUGUAUUAUGUUUCCGGUUAAUACAAUUCUAGCAUGAAUAAUAAACAUUUAUCAUGAUAUGAGGAAAUAAAUAAUAAAUUUAUUAUUGCUUCUAGGGCAUAUUUCCUUCAAUCCUCGCCUCGGCUCCUUCAGCAGCUCACGGCUCGUCUUCGUGAUGAGUUUGCCCUCAAGGAUCUGGGAGUGCUGCACUACUUCCUUGGCAUUGAGGUCGUUCGCCGUGCCGAUGGGUUCUUUCUGCAUCAGCAGAAGUACGCUCAUGAGCUUCUCGAGCGCGUGGGUAUACUUAAUUGCAAGACCGCCCCCACACCUGUUGACACCAAGGCGAAGGUCUCUGCUUUGGAGGGUUCUCCUGCGCCGGAUGUCGCGUUCUACCGCUCCAUCAUCGGCGCCCUGCAGUAUCUCACCCUCACUCGGCCUGACUUGCAGUAUGCAGUCCAGCAGGUGUGCCUCCACAUGCACUCUCCGUGUGAUUCCCACUGGACUCUGGUGAAGCUUAUUCUUCGGUACAUACGCGGCACUAUGAACCUGGGACUCACCCUGACGGCAUCCUCCUCCAUCGACAUGGUCGCCUACUCCGAUGCUGACUGGGCUGGCUGCCCGGACACGCGUCGCUCUACGUCAGGCUAUUGUGUCUACCUCGGGCCCUCGCUGAUUUCGUGGUCGUCCAAGCGGCAGCCCACGGUCUCUCGCUCGAGUGCUGAGGCGGAGUAUCGGGCAGUGGCUAACGCCGUUGCUAAGUGCUCUUGGCUCCGUCAGCUUCUCCAGGAGUUGUUUUGUGUGGUCCCUAAGGCCAUGAUCGUCUACUGCGACAACGUCUCCGUCGUCUAUCUCUUCGCCAACCCCGUCCACCAUCGCCGUAUGAAGCAUAUUGAGCUCGACAUUCACUUCGUUCGCGAGCAGGUGGCUCUCGGGAAGGUUCGUGUUUUGCACGUUCCUACCACUUAGCAGUUUGCCUAUGUCAUGACUAAGGGACUACCGACCCCAGUCUUUGAGGAGUUUCGGUCCAGUCUAUGUGUCUCCGGNNNNNNNNNNNNNNNNNNNNNNNNNNNNNNNNNNNNNNNNNNNNNNNNNNNNNNNNNNNNNNNNNNNNNNNNNNNNNNNNNNNNNNNNNNNNNNNNNNNNNNNNNNNNNNNNNNNNNNNNNNNNNNNNNNNNNNNNNNNNNNNNNNNNNNNNNNNNNNNNNNNNNNNNNNNNNNNNNNNNNNNNNNNNNNNNNNNNNNNNNNNNNNNNNNNNNNNNNNNNNNNNNNNNNNNNNNNNNNNNNNNNNNNNNNNNNNNNNNNNNNNNNNNNNNNNNNNNNNNNNNNNNNNNNNNNNNNNNNNNNNNNNNNNNNNNNNNNNNNNNNNNNNNUGUUGAGUGUACGUUGUCCACUGCAUAUGUAUAGGACUUGGGUUUGUAUUUAUACCGUUGUAUCUCUCUCUCCCCCUCAUAUAUUUGUACAUCUUGGGAGACAAAUAGAAGCCGGUCCACCCUGUACCUAUAUAUGUGCACCAUGCACACGAUCAAUGAUUAUCGAUUCAUGCAAUCUCAUUCUUUCUAACUAACAGAGAGAUCCCAAAGCUCAGCUAUAUUAAAUUUUUAAGAGGAAUGGAGUGACCCAAUCAGAUGUGAACUUAAAAACCAGGUUUGUUGACUGUUUCUUGUCCCUCCCUUCCCUCACAAUCCAGCUUCUGUUCUGCGCAGUCAUCAGUAACAUCUUAGUUGUAAGUAAAUUUUCUUUUGAGUUUGUAGACUGCUUGAAGCAAUCAGAGCCAAUCAUAAAAUCAAUUUGCAGACAGAUGUGAAUUUUACCUAGUCCUAUUUGGUAUACUGGUCGUGUUUCCGCGAACGGGUUGGUACAACUAAUUCCUGUACGUUUAUCUUACCAAAAUCCAACCACACCCAUAUUAUCUGACCUGUGAUUGAUUUUGACCCAACAUUUGAAAAAUUUGCUGGACAAGUUGGUGAACAGGAGUGCUAGCCAUAAAUAUGCAUGGAAGAAUAUCAGGGACCAUUAAAAAAAAUGGGUGCGUCUCAUAUCGUUGUCGAUUUAUUUUGGAUAAAUUGACCUUGUCCUGGUAUGUAGAUUCAAAGGAGGAUAAUUAACCUUAUCUUGGUAUUGAUGAGUAUGACAUAGUGUUCACCAAUAACUUGAGCCGACAGAAACCAUGGACGACACGCGUUCAAUCAGCCACCUACUUAUGCUUGAAUUUCUUUCCCUGGAGUACUGCACAUACAUAUUUGUCAGUUGAGUUUUGAAGGAAGAGAUGGAACAUGACACCUGGAUAUACAUGCUCGUAUCGCAACAGUGUAGAGGCAUAAAAAAUCAGUAAAUAAACAAUUUGGACAUGGCUAGUUCCAUGCAUGGUUAAAGUACUAAACUUUGCUAUUUCGUCAAAAAAAAAAACUAUUUCGUCAAGUACUAAACUGUGAAGAAGCUCUGCUCAUCAGUGAUCACCUGGAUAUAUGGAAUCCUUAAUUUUCAGUCUAUUGCAGCUUGCACAGCAUAAUCUUCUUCAGAUAAGAAGCCAGGAAAAGCGCACAAAGCACAUUUGCAGUCAAGCUAGUUCUAAUUUUCUCCACAUUGUUUGACGAAUCGUCUCAAUCUAAACCUGUCUCUUUCAGAAAGGGCAAAAAAAACGCAUUCUGCAUGAAAAGGAACACGUGCUACUAAAAGAAGCAGUAUGUUGAACAGAAGAAUUAUUUGCUGUUAACAUGCGGUGCCUGGUUUUUCUUUCUAGUAAGCGAUGUGUUGUGAACUGUGGUUGCUUUCAGACUCCGGAUAUUGACGCCAUGCAAUCAAAUUUGCUCUUAGUUUAGCAAGUUCAGACUUGGGUGAGAAAUCAACAGAGCAACUACGGAUCAAACUAGGUGCAAAACUACGAAAACAGACAGGACAGAAAAAGCACAAUUUCAAAGACUUCAGAGUUUAUAGAAUAAUAACAAGGAACAUUUUCAAACAAAAAGGACCAAAAAAUUUGAAAUUGAUACGUAUUUGGUAGGGGCCGCGCGAACGCGUACCCCCUCUAUCACAAAUUAUGACGUCCACUCUCCCUCAAAGGGGAGAUGGUAAGCCAGCGCGCCCACAAAGUGCAAUGUCGGCCACUAGCCUAGGCCAUGACUCUUCUUGAUCAGCCAUAGACCCCGUCCAGGUAAGUGAGUUUAAAGGUAGCCCAAUGCCCUGUUAAUAUGAUGCGCUGCCUCUGCUACCUCCCUCGACAGGCGAUGUGGUACUAAACGAAAAGAAUGUAUGCCUCGCCUGGUGCUCUCUGCGGCUUUCCAGGACGAGGAGUUCGAACGGGCCACUGUGUAUGGGCCUAUUGGCAUCGGAAAAAGAAAAGAGUUAACCGGGUUGCCAAGUCCCAAGAGGAGCAGAGGCUGAGAACCGAGAUGGGAUAGGAGAUGCGUAGAUUCUGUCAAACUGUCAAACGGAGAACGAUGACAGGUCAAACUUGUCGCCGAAUACCGCCACGGCUGCGUGAUCCUCUAUCGUUUAUUCCCCCUUUCCAGGUGAGCUUCAGAACUGUUCCUUCCUUGAUUAGGAGGAUGCAAAUCGAUAGGUUUUUCUGUGCUAACGACCAAAUGAAUGUCAGUCAAUCAAUGUGCUGAAGAAGACUGCGCCAGUGUAUUUGAAAGGGCUGUCCGUGCACGGUCCUCUGCUCUGAAGUCAUACGCACUUGCCGUCAGGCUCCGCACCUGCAGCAGCUCAACGAAGUGUGCAAUUUGUAGGCAGGGAAGUUUCAGAAAAAGUGUGCAAUUUACAGGCAGGGAGACGGAAGAAGUUAGCUCAUGCAUCUUCCUCCAUCCAGACGCUCUCAUUUCGCCUUUUUGCUUCCACUUUACCCAGAAGACUCUCCACCACAUUCAAAUCGACGACGACUUCCAGGCUGCAAAAACCUCUGAACUCUGAACUCUGAAGAACCUCAGUCUAGCGUCAGGACUCUGUGCCGCCACGCACUGAAGUCUUUAUCCUCCUCUUUAUUCGUUUCUUGCCAAGGGCAGUGCCUUUUCUCCAAUGCAAAGAAUGGCUCGCCGGAGUUCGAGACGCGUGGUAAUCUGCCUGCACUUUCACGACACCGUACGGUUCUACAGUACUACACUGAAACUGUUUGUUCUUCUCACCUCUUCUUUGUGAUAUUGACCCCCUUAUCUCCCACUCUUUUGAACUAAAGAAGCACUGUCAUUUCUUGUUAGCAUGCGUGGCUAGGGUUACGUACUAAACAUAGCGCGUUAUUUCUGAAGAUGUCCACGGAAUAUGUAAUGCACCCAGCUGUUUCAACGCCCUUAUAAAAGGCACAUAUAUGUCCCCGUUCGCAUCAAGUUAAUUGUGACGACGAUCACAAAAGUAGGUAAGAACAAGAAAGUCAAUAGUUCAUGUACCUAGGUAUGUUCUACUGGUUGCAAAGUAACCGAUCGACAAACUCGGACUUGAGAUGGAAAAGUUGCAAAGCUUGGACACCUCAUGUUUACCACUACAGUUCUUGUGUCCAUACUUCACAAUACUCUGUAUGAAAACAAAGAACCCGUGCCACGAGACAUGUAAUGAAUGAAUGUGUUGAAUGGUGAAAAUUGCUUCCUGUCAACGCAUGAUUAAUUCCUGGUCUCCUCUUCUAAAUCUAAUGAGUAGACUGAACGCUUGCAUGUUUACGAGGAACGUGGAAUUCUGAUCACAGGAUCGUUCCCCGUUUUGUGGUUGUUGAGAGAUCCCAAAACUAAGCUAUAUUUAAUCUACAAGAGGAAUACAGCUACGCAGUUCUGAUGUGAACUAAACCAGGCUUAUUGACAGUUUCUUCUCUCUCCCUUCCCUCACAAUUCUGAUUCUGUUCUGCACAGUCAUCAGCAUCUCAGUUGUAAGCAAAUUUUUCUUUUGAGUUUGUAACUUGGUUGACGCAAUCAGAGCCAAUCAUACAAACAGUUUGCAGACAGAUGUAAAUUUUACCGAGUCUUUUUUGGUAUACUUUAUGCAACUACUAAGUCUUGUUUCCGCAAACGGGUAGGUACAACUAAUUCCUGUAUGUUUAUCUUACUAAAACCCAACCACAGCCAUAUUAUCUGACCUGUGUUGAUUUUGACCCAAGCUACCAUCAUUGGAAAAGUUGGUGGGUAAGUUGAUAAAAGGGAUUACUAGCCAUAAACGUGCAUGGAAGAAUAUCAGGACAAUAAAAAAAGGGAUCAUCUCAGAUUUGUUGUCUGAUUUAUUCUGGAUAAAUUGACCAUAUCCUGUUGUCUAUAUUCAAAGGAGGAUGAAUUGACAUUAUCCUGGAUUCCUGGUAUCCAGAAGUAUGACAGUGUUCAACAAUAACUUGAACGGACAGAAAUCAUGCACCAUAAAAGUUCAACCAGUCACCUACUUAUGCUUGGAUAUCUUUCGAUACCCAUACUUGCCUCAGACCAUUGCACAAAGCCUAAAAAGUUCAGUAAAUAAACAAAUUUGCACAUGGCUAAUGCUACGGUUAAGUACUGGAAGAAGCUCCCUCUUUAUGCUAUCACCUUCCCAGAUUGGAGGUGAUUUCCUCGGUGUGGACGAGGACGAGGCCCGGAUAAGAGGUGUCAUUGCUGCCUCGCUCACUGCUACUGCACCGCGUUGGCGGAUUUUGGUCUCGUCUAUUUACAGAACUUCGUGAAAUGCAUGCUGUCGUUAUUAUUCAGAUUUUGCAGCUUGCACGGGAUAAUCAGGAAAAGUACAGAAAGCACAUUUACAGUCAAACUAGUUCAAUUUUUUCUCCUCGUAGUUUAAACCUGUCUCUUUCACAAAGGGAAAAACCGAAUUCUGUAUGAAAGGGAGCACGUGCUACUAAAAGAAGCAGUAUGUUGAACAGAAGAAAUCUUUGGUGUCAACUUUCGGUGCCAGGUUUUUCUUCUAGUAAGCCCGGGUUCUUUUUCUAGUAUAUAUAAGCAAUCUGAUGUGAACUGUAGUUGUUCUUCAGACUUCAGAGAUUGACGCCGUGCAGUCAAAUUUUGGACAGUUGGACUGGCUAUUUUAAGAAAAGAAAAAGGUUAGGCUAUCAGCAAUUUCACCUCUCGCAUCUCAUUACCAGUAUGAUCUUCACCUCUACCAUAUCAUUACCAGUAUGCUCGCUCUUAGUGCAGUUCAGACUUCAGUGCGUACUGGUAAUACAUAGCAGACAAUAGAAACAAGCCCAAGGUCACUGAAAACCUUUUUUAGAGGAAAAGACCACUCUCCCACAGACCAAGGAUCAAACUCCCAAACAGAAUGUGCGAAUAUUAAACACAUUUGGCCCAAGUACAACACUGUAAAUCACAAAGACCAAAACUUAAAAUUUAUAUUUUGCAGGGGCCGCGCGAACGCGUACCCCCUCUAUCACAAAUUACGACGUCCACUCUCCCUCAAAGGGGAGAUGGUAAGCCAACGCACCCACAAAGUGCGAUGUGGGCCACUAGCCUAGGCCAUGGCUCUUCUUGAUCAGCCAUAGACCCCGCCCAGGUAAGUAUGUUUCAAAGUUGCCCUAUGCCCUGCUUUUAUAGGUUGCGCUGCCUACGCUGGCUGCUUGGACAAGCGAUGUGGUACUAAACGAAAGAAAGCAUGCCUCGCCUGGUGUUUGUUGCGGGUUUCCGGGAAGGACGGCGUGUAUGGGCCUGUUGGUACCAACCGGGCUGUUUUUAUGGGUUGGACUGGAAGCCCAUGCACCAUAUGUAUGAGUCUGACGCUGCUGGCCCGUCAGAUCGACAUCAACGGGGAAGAAACCGUAUGAGUAAUCACAUGCUCAAAUGCUAAAAAAGAAGAGUAAUCACACGUUCAAAGGCAUCCUUUCACAAAGAUUUGACAAAAACCCUCAGAAGCUGAAGUUUGCACAAAUUCUUUUACUGACCACACUUCUUUAGCCAAGGAGGAAUUAACAUAGUGCCCAUUUUUUAACUCAAAAAUAAACAGAUGGAUCUCUUCGAUUCUUGGUGCUACUGUUGGUAGCAAAAGAACAAUGCCGUUCAAAUCAGGCAGCGAUAAUACUUGUUGGUCGGUACAAACACUGAAGGUGCUAGCAUGAUGUUUUUACAUCUUACGUUUAAGGCCCUAAAAAUAUAUGCAUGUAAUCACCUUUGACGUAAAAAAAAUAAGGCAUAAAAAUAGUAUUGGUUACCUAGCAAAUUGUUUUUUUUAGGGAAGACCUAGCAAAUUGUUGUCAAUAGUUGUUAUAAUCAGUGCCAAACAAGAAUGCAGUUGGCUUCCAGCCCAUAGUUGAAUGCGGUAUGGCUUCUCGAGUCCACAAGUUGGCUCGAAAAUGAUGUGACACGGAUCCAUCUCGGAAAUUUCUGUUAGUAUGAUUCCUUCAGGUUCUGUAGUAGCUCUACACGUAAGCAGUCAAAUUCAGUGUACCAUCAUAUCUUAUUGUAGUGCUACUAUUAGAUAGAGAAACCGUGUAAGCAUGAAUUUGAAUAAGGAGGUCACUUAAAAAAACAGAUUUGUGGCCAGAUCACAGUAUUCAGCAUAAGAAAAAUGCACGUUCCUGUUUGUGACCCGGUAGUUCUACUGACACGGCACAUACUGAAUUUUAGUUAUUUGUAAAUCAGAUUCAAACAACUUGCAUGAAGUUUUAAAUUAGCACCUGAUCAGUUAGAUGAGCUAAAAGUUUUCAGGAGUAAGUCUGGUUUCUAUAAUUCAAAGAAACUUUGCUGGUGCUUGAUCUAAAGAAUUUAAAGAAAUGGCCAGAUGAUGUAGGAGAACUGACCAGAUCAUGUUAAUAAGAAAAGAAAAAGAAAAAUCUCAACUGGUACAAAGAAAAGAUUAAAAAAACAGAUCCUUGAUAUGAUGAGUGGAAAUUUUUGUUUAAUAAAAUGCUCAAAUGGUAGCAGCUUCUAUAAAUAAGCUUGCCACAGCAAACAUAGUUCUUUAGAAAUGCAAAAGAACAAUGAGCUGCGUAUUACUGACAUGGAAAGAAGCAGAAGUACAUUCACAAAGGAUAGUAGCUUUGGCACCGAGCAGAGUCAUCUGAUCAUACAGUUAAUUAGCGGUCUACUAACCUGUGCAUUCGACACAGAAUAUUAGUGCAACCACCAGAAUGUGCCAGCAAAAUGAGAUCCAGAGAAAUUGAUGGCAUCAUAUAUCCACCACUUGUGUAGUGCCCGAGGAACAUGCCACAUAAAGUUCCUCUUUAAUUCCAAGGUAAUGAACCAAUCCUACAGGUUGAGCAAUGACAUCCUGCAGGUGCAAAAAAAACAAUCAUACCAUAAGAACGGCUAUCAUACACAUGUUUAACAGAGUGAUCAAUUUGAUACUAACCAUAGUAGCACCAGAAUGGUGAAAUUCAUAGGUGUGAGGGGGCCAAAGGGGGAAAGAACAGCACCUCUUCCUGUUCAAGUAUACCACUUACUAAUGCCCGAUAAAAUAAAAAUUUGCAGACAGAUGAAUUUUACCGAGCCCUUUUUUGGUAAACUUUAUGCAACUAGUGAUCUUGUCUCCGCGAGCGGGUUGGUACAACUAAUCCCUGUAGGUUUAUCUUACCAAAACCCAACAACACCCAUAUUAUCUGACCUAUGUUUGAUAUUGACCCUAGAUGCCAUCAUUGGAAAAUUUGGUGGACAAGUGAACGGGAGUACUAGCCCUUAACAGGCAUGGAAGAAUAUCAGGGGCAAUCCAAAAACGACUGCAUCUCAGAUUGUUGUCUGAUUUGUUUUUGAUAAACUGAGCUUAUCCUUCUACUUAGUUUUGAAGGAGGAUAAAUUGACCUUAACUUGGUAUCCAGGAGCGGGAGUAUGACACCAUUCACCAAUAACUUCAGUUCACAGAAAUUGUGCACAUAGCUUGGUAUGACACCUGAACAUCCGAUCUUGCAACCAAACACUCAACUAGAGUAAGAAUUUGCUUGCAUCAGCAACCUGGUUUAAAUAGCUGAACUAAAUAACAACCAAGAUAUAGCUGCUGUCAAAAUCAAGACAGCAAUAGCAUGUAAAUAAAAUCCAAUAGCUACACCUUCAAAGCAUAUGAACAGAAUACAGAAAUACUGAGCAUAGAACCCAAAUUACUGUAUCAUGUCACAGAGAAGCUGUAUGAACAGAAUACAGAAACUCUCUAUGUAAACUGGAUUCAACCUCAAUGGAUGCUGAGCAUAGAACCCAAUUUACUGACACAACACAAGCAUAAAGCAUCACUUCUGACAUUAAAAUCGAGGAUGUCCACAUUCACUCGUCUCAGCAUAUUAGAACUAGAAAUGGUGAUAGGCACAAGUCUCAAACGGAUUAGCUCACGGAAUGCCUCAGCAACCUAACAUAACAUUCGACGCACAAGAGAUGCACCUGAGCAAAGCACCAAUACAUCAGAUUAGCUAACCAAAUGUCUCAAGACACUAGUCACUUUACUCCACGCAAUGUUUGGGCGGUUGAGCCAAGGAGUCUAG